rnacentral:tRNA from 1 species
AAGAAUAUAGUUAAACAUAACAUUUGAUCUGCAUUCAAAAAGUAUUGAGUAAUCAAUUUUUCUUA